rnacentral:tRNA from 1 species
GCUUGGUUGGGAGUUGGUAAAGCGUCUGCCUUGCAAGCGGUAGGCCGCGGGUUCGAUUCCCGCUCGGAGCG